UUGCACCAGAUACAAGCCCGUCAGCCCAGUGAGUCCCAGCCGUUUUGCACGCUGGCCUCAAUCUCCAUGGCUGCACGGCUUCCGAACGGUGCGAGAGCAAUACCAAGCCCUGAUAUAUUUAAGCUUCUCAGUGGGGAGUGCCACUGUUGAGUUAUGGCUCAGAGGCACACCU